CCAGAUAAAUGAAGUUGCUAAAAUGUUGUACCAGCAGGGUCUCACUGAGCUCAUUCACAGCUCCCCCAGUGAGCAGGUGGCGUAUCUCCUGGUGGAGAGGGCUUCCCUGCUUGAGAUGAAUCAGGAUCCUGGUGAUGGAGACCCAGAGAGUCGACUGAGGACCCACGCAGAACCACUGAACCCCGUCAUAUGUCGCCCACCCACAAGAGGUCCCCACGACCUUUACAAAGCUCCUGGAAGAAAAUAUUUGGACUCCAUAAGACUUUGCAGAGCAAGCACACCUUCGUACCUUGAUACUAAUCUUGCCAGCAGCAGAUAAACUUUGCAUGACAGAAGUUCAAGGUCCAACACCACUCAUGCAUCUUUCUCCAGAUCGUAUCUCAAGGGUGGGGAGACACCUUUGGCCGGUGAACCAAGACGUUUGGAGAAGGAGUGUUCCCGACUGGAGCGGGAUGUGGAAGAAGGUUCCCGCAGGUUGGCCAUGGCCCACAACGAGAUCCGGCAUUUGAAAGAUGAACUGGAGUCUGCUCACUUUACCCAGAAAACAUAUGAGCCUGAGCUGCAGUCAGCACAGGAGGAGGUGAAGCAGCUCAGGAAGGAAGUAGGAAAACUAAAAGAAUAUGAAAUGGUUGAGCUGCGGAAGGCCAAAGAGCUUAAUGACCGUCUGGACCUUGAGAUCAGAGCCUUGAGAAACAGAGUCCGCUCCCUGGAUGCAGAGAAAAAGUCUCUGGAGAAGACGAUGGCGUGUCAGCAGGAGGACGUUGAGAGGUUGGAAUCAGCCCUGCAGGGGCAGCAGCGGAUAUUAAUGAUAGAGGUACAAGCUGACCAGGACAGAGAAGAAGAUAAAAUGCAAGGAGCUGAACUGACGACGGACGAUAAAUCACACAUAAUUUUGCAAGAAUACUUAACUGCACAGACACAACAAGCCAUGGAGAAAAAGGAGGGAGGUGUUGAAUCUCUGCAGGAGGUAGUGAAGCAGUUGGAGUUGGCCGUAAGGAACCUUCAGGGUUCUUACACGCUUCCGAUAGGCCAAGCUAGUGAUUUAACGAAUUUCACGACAACAGACGAAACUCUGGUCGAUGAAACCAGCAAGGAUGAGCAAGAUGAGCUCGGUUUUCAAACAAAGUGCCUCAUGGAGAAGCAGCCAGAAGACGAGUGUCUUCAAGUUUUACAGAAUUACCAAAGCAACAUUAACGACUUUAUAACUGUUAGAGACAUCUGCUCACAGCUGGAACAAUCCAGCAGGACAGAAGAGUUUCCCUCACAGGACAGCUCCACACUCGAGGAGAGUUCUGAAUGUCCCGAAGGGAGGCAGGCUCCGAUGUUUGAUGAAGAAGAGCGUGAGACAUACAAGGAGCAGAUCUGUAAAGCCCUUAACUGUAUUGAUGAGGAGUGAAGGUAACACGCCUUUAUUAGUGUUUUGUUUAUAAAUAUAACUUGCUUUUUUCAGUAAAGCUGGGAAGUUGCUUUUAAUUAUACCACAAAAAACUUUGAUUUAUAAUCAGCUUCUUUGACUCAAUUACUGUCCAAUCUACUGUUAAAAUGUAAACAAAUAUUUUGGACUGGAGUCAGUGAAGCCACAUGGGCUUGAAAGUCCUUUUUGCGUGAAAUUCAUUCUAAAUUAACUUCUCGGCCAUUUUUAAAAGUUUGUAUGAUUAGAAUCUGUUUUAUCUGUUUUCACAUCACACCUGUUUGUUGUGUCCAUCGACUGUGUCUAGCAAAUACCACAAUAUGAAGGAGAGACUAUUGGAAAAACUCUCCCGAGCCAAACAGAAACUGGAUGAAGAAACCAUGUGGCGGGACAAGAAGAUAAACAAUUUGGAGAGGGAGUUGUCCUUGUGCUACCACUCAUUGAAAAAGGAGAAAGAAAUCGUUGAGUGCAUAAGAGUGGAAAACGAGCGUCUGCUUGGCGAGAGGAGGAAGCUGUUACAGCAGCUCAGUGAGGAGGAUGACAACAUGAAAAACAUCAAAUUAACAGCCUGCGUGUCUAAAAACAGGGUGCAGUAUUUAGAGACGGAGAACAAGAAUCUGGGGAACAAAGUUCUGCAUCUGUCCAACCAGAUUUCCACCAUGGAACGCAAGUUGCAGAACAUGCAGUUUAUGCAUUUUGCUGAGGAACUUCAGAAAAUGUCAACUCUCCCACAGAAACUUUCGCCUGUCUCUGUUCAGACAGCGAGGAUGAUGCUGUCUGAGAUUCAGGACCUUUCGGAGGUUCCUCCAGAGUGCGACGCCAAGCAGACAGAUCUGACUUUCUCCCCUGAUGGUUUAGCCUCUGUGGCCUUGAAUCGAACCACAGAGCUCGGCUACCUCAACCUGACUUCACUCCAGAGUCUCUCAGACAAGUCAAAUCCAGAUUCUGGUCUCGUUACCUCUGAAAAUACAGCUCCCUGAGCUUUUCUAUCUAAAAUAUGAUUAAACUGCGCUGAAACUAUUGUGUUCGCCUUUUAAUUUAAGUUAUUUGUCCUGUGUUUUUCCACCCCAGUUUGUGAGGAGUAGUCAUAGGGAAAUCAUUUGGACUUUAUUUUUGCUUAGGCUUAAACGAGAAAGAAAAACUGAGCAGAAAAACUUACCGCCGCCACCGGAUAUUAAUGAUGAACUAUAUGUGACAGCAGGAAAAGUAAAAUUUCCACUCGGCUUUUUUUGUUAAAACCACAGGCGAAAAAAACUAAAUGAGCUCCACUGUGGUUGCGGCCUCUUUUUCUUUGUACACUUCCUGCACUACUACGUUUAUGCUUUUUCAAAAACGGCAAAGAAAAGAUGAAAUCAUUGCCAUAUUUUAUUUGCUUCAAAGGUUUUACAUUCAUAUAAUUCAAGCUCUUACACAGAAAAUUGAUAAAGUUCAAAAGUUCCAUAAAUACGAAAAUAUGAUGCUGACUGGAGUGCAGUAUUUGAGGUUUCAGUGCAAAGUGAUAUAAAAAAAAUUAUUUCACUGUCAACAUGAUAGAACAUCUCUGAAUAGGAGAGAGUUUUAAAACAUGAAGGAAAUAAUGGAACAUUCAAAUAAAAAUGCGCUUUCAAUUAAAAAAAAAAAACAAUAAAAAGUACCGGUAGAAAUGCCCACUUGCAAAAACAUAUUUUCCAAGGUUAGCUCAUUGUGCAAAAAAAAAAAAAAAA